rnacentral:rRNA from 1 species
CUACGGGGGGCACCAGUGAGGAAUAUUGCACAAUGGAGGAAACUCUGAUGCAGCAACGCCGCGUGGAGGAUGGCGCAUUUCGGUGUGUAAACUCCUUUUAUAUGUCAAGAAAAUGACGGUAGCAUAUGAAUAAGCUCCGGCUAACUCCGUGCCAGCAGCCGCGGUAAUACGGAGGGAGCAAGCGUUACUCGGAAUCACUGGGCGUAAAGGACGCGUAGGCGGGAUAGAAAGUCAGGUGUGAAAUCCUAUGGCUCAACCAUAGAACUGCACUUGAAACUUCUAACCUAGAGUAUGGGAGGGGAAGAUGGAAUUAGUGGUGUAGGGGUAAAAUCCGUAGAUAUCACUAGGAAUACCAAAAGCGAAGGCGAUCUUCUGGAACAAUACUGACGCUAAGGCGUGAAAGCGUGGGGAGCAAACAGGAUUAGAUACCCGUGUAGUC